CUGAUGAACUCUCUCCUCCCCUCUCCCCCGGACGCCCGGGUAUCUCCCUCUGGCAACUUUGCCGCCGCGACUUUCUCCGCUGUCAGGCCACACGAAAGUGUCCGAGCACCUCGCAGACGGCAGCGAGGGAAAUGGCCCUUAAAAGUGCGACGAGGUGGGGGAAGAGGUGCAAUUAUUAUUAUCAGCAUCUAGAAAGCAUCAUGCAUUGUUCUUACUGGAUCUUCCUAUCAAUGAACAUUAUGGAAGUACCAAUACAGCAUCAAGUCCUUCCUGGAUGGAAAGUUUUCAAACUUCUUCAUUUGGAAUUACUUAAACAUUAGGAUGUUGGGAUUUUUGAUGAUGCCUUCCUUAUGUGGAUUACUACAGUUUGGUUACUGGGAAUUCUCCACCUCAGUGAAGAUUACUUUGCUAUCUGGGAACUCAUGCCCACCUCUUUGACUUCGGGUCAAAAUUGCUUUCCUCACGGUCUGACUGGGAAAGUUGUAAAACAUUAGAAUGUCCUUCAGCGGUGGGCUGUGGAA